UAAGGAAAAAGCAAGAAUGAAAUGAUUUUGUCUGAUGGAGUCUUGUGGUGAAAUGCUGAUAUUUGUAUUAUGUCGGUGGAGGAUUUCUUUAUAUAUAUAUAUGUAUCUGUCUUGUGACUUGAAGUAAGGAAUGCAUAAUAGAAAAAUUGGAGACACACACAGUGAGCCGAGAGCUCACACAGAGAGAAACCCGAGAUUGUUAGAUGACAGAGAGGGCCAAAGAUUGAUGCUCGGAUGAAUUAAUUCUUUUACAGUUUUCAGGUACCAAAGAUGAUCUUGGAUUGUUAGUUGCGGGCUUAGGUGGAAGAGUUGGUGUUGAGGAUUUUUAUUAUUUAAUUUAUUUAGUGAUGUUGUAUAUAAUAUUGAGGAAAUUGAUUUGUAUCAAUAAAGGAUAUUUUAUUAUUUUUGA